rnacentral:tRNA from 1 species
GGAAGCGCGGAGUAUCCGGUGAUGCUCCCGGUCUUCAAAACCGGAGGGAGGCAGUUCAUCCUGUCUCUGGUGUGUUCGACUCACACGCGCUUCCGCCA